CAUUAAGAAGCUAUGAACCAGCAUUAGCCUUUUAAGCUAAAGAAAGAGGGGAACCCCUCCUUAAUGA
rnacentral:tRNA from 1 species